CGGAAGGAACCAGCCACAGAGAUUUUCUGUGUGUGCGGGGUCU
rnacentral:SRP_RNA from 11 species